rnacentral:rRNA from 1 species
GCGAGAAAACUUUGCAAUGUGCGAAAGCACGACAAGGUUAAUCCGAGUGGUUUCUGCUAAAGAAACCUUUUGCUAGUCCUAGAAACACUAGUGAAUAAGGGGUGGGCAAGUUCUGGUGUCAGCCGCCGCGGUAAAACCAGCACCUCAAGUGGUCAGGAUGAUUAUUGGGCCUAAAGCAUCCGUAGCUCGUUUUGUAAGUUUUCGGUUAAAUCCAUACGCUUAACGUAUGGGCUGCCGGAAAUACUGCAUAACUAGGAAGUGGGAGAGGUAGACGGUACUCGGUAGGAAGGGGUAAAAUCCUUUGAUCUAUUGAUGACCACCUGUGGCGAAGGCGGUCUACCAGAACACGUUCGACGGUGAGGGAUGAAAGCUGGGGGAGCAAACCGGAUUAGAUACCCAAGUAGUCCCUGAGCGGGCUGGCAAGGCGCAU